CGAUGCUCGAUUUCCAAGAACAGAAUGGAAUUCUUCGAAAGGGAUGGGCCGCGGCGUUCGUACUGCGCGCCGCGAUUUGGCCGCUGGAUUUGACCACUUUUUGGCAAACCGACGUCCUCUCGGUCGGCGGGGGUGCGCGUGAAAUUUUGCUCGCGGCACGCUCCACAGUCUUCGACUUGCGACUCGAUCGAAUCGAGAUUUCGAUCCUGGAAACCUUGUCGCUCUGCAGACCCGAGAUCGCCGAAACGACCAACGGCUUCCGGCUCGCGUCGAAAGCGACGGACUCUGCGCUGGAAACGCUUGUUCGACAUCUCGCCGCGCGAACGUCCUCGCUCGCCGAGCGAUCUCGCAGGCUGGCCAAAAUCAUGUUGCUGCUACCCGUUCUGACGGCUUGCUGUCCCAGACGUUUAGCCACGGAUCUCUUCGCGCCUAUCAUCGGACGCGUCGAUUUCGAAAAAGUGAUAGCGGCUGUGCGCUGAUCGAGAUCCACCGUUCCAACGACGAUCGAACGAGGAACAAAAGGUUUCGAUGAGGAAGGAAAGAAACUCGAUUUUUAUUUUCUUUGGCACUUUAUUGACGCAAGUGAUAUGUACAAUUACUUAAAGUAAUAUGGCGCAUCGGUAUAAAAUAGAGCCGUAGCAACUCGUGGCACGCGAGCUAGUCGAAAAUUUCGAUCCGAACGCGCCGAUCGUCUUUCGGUUAUUGUCGAUAAACGUCGGUAACGAAGGGUAGAAUUUGUGAGCGAUACGACGCUUGUAAGAGCGUGUUUGUCCGACGACCGGAUCCCCGAACGAGAUUCUCGGCUAUCUCGACGAGAGUACUCUUUACGGCUCUAUAGCACGUAGAAAACGAUGAGAAAGCAUCGA